AGCAGUCGGAGGGAACGGUGAUUCCAGUGCAGCUGACAACAUCUACAGUAAAGUCGCAGAGACACAGAAUGAUCAAGCAAACCCAGGCACAGCCACAGAGGGGAACCCAGGCACAGCCACAGAGGGGAACGAGAGUGAAGAACUCAAUUACCUGGCCUUCUCCCAGACCGCUCCCCAUCUCAACCCACACAGACAACGGAGGCGGUCUCGUUCUGAACUGGAAGAAAAUGAUAAAGUGGUCUAUGCAAGCAUCAACAACGCGUGAUAUGCUGCAAUCAAAUCGAUCAACGAAACAAAAAGUCCACAUAAAAAACUGCAUCUCAUGUCUGUACAGUGUAAAUCCAUUCGGGAUGGAAGAAGCCAUCUGUAGAAGCCAGAUUUUCCAUGACUUGUUCACAUGUGAAUUUGCCACCGUUUCAUUCUUUCUUGCUAAAUGAAGCUUUUACGAAAAAGUAAUAAUAUUUGCGUUUGUGUUAAACAUUGUUACAAGCUUUUGCAUACCACUACAAGGCUAAAGAGAUUUUCUUCAUGUAAAUAUGCACUGUUAUGUAUCAUUGAAAUA